GACGAACGCUGGCGGCGUGCUUAACACAUGCAAGUCGAACGGAAAGGCCCUGCUUUUGUGGGGUGCUCGAGUGGCGAACGGGUGAGUAACACGUGAGUAACCUGCCCUUGACUUUGGGAUAACUUCAGGAAACUGGGGCUAAUACCGGAUAGGAGCUCCUGCUGCAUGGUGGGGGUUGGAAAGUUUCGGCGGUUGGGGAUGGACUCGCGGCUUAUCAGCUUGUUGGUGGGGUAGUGGCUUACGAAGGCUUUGACGGGUAGCCGGCCUGAGAGGGUGACCGGCCACAUUGGGACUGAGAUACGGCCCAGACUCCUACGGGAGGCAGCAGUGGGGAGUAUUGCACAAUGAGCGGAAGCCUGAUGCAGCAACGCCGCGUGCGGGAUGACGGCCUUCGGGUUGUAAACCGCUUUCGCCUGUGACGAAGCGUGAGUGACGGUAAUGGGUAAAGAAGCACCGGCUAACUACGUG
rnacentral:rRNA from 1 species